CAAGAUUUUUGAGUGAAAAACGUGUGAAACGCUCAAUUAUGUGCCUUAACGUAAUAUUAUUAAAGGUGCUUUUAAUCUAAUUUGAAGAUCGUGUUUGUGCACAUAAUACAUAAAGUAUACAAGGAAUGCAUUUUUAUUUGCAUAAUAAAUUUAACCGUAAAUAAAAUAUAUUCGUAUAAUUUAAGUUACAUUAUAGGUUUGAAAAUAAUGAUAUACAUAACGGUUGUAUUAUAUAAUAGUUAGUUAGAUGAAUUAGUUGUAAGUUGCAUAGAAAAAUGCGGGUGUAUAUAACAUUUUACUAAAUUAUAUUUCAUGCCACAAUGUUGUAAAUAUGUCGCCAUCAUUUACCAUAAUAUUAGUAUCUGUAAUAUCAGUAUUAAAGAAAUGCCCUUAUUUAUUAUUUAAGGUGUGGUGUACAGUCGACGUCAAAAAUAUGUUUACACUUUUGCACCUUACCCCUUUGUAAAAGCGAAAAAUGUAAACAUGUCUUUGACGUCGACUGUUCGUUGGCAAACUGAAGUAUGAUAAGCAUAGCAAAGAUUAAAAAACAGGCAAAAAACGGCAAAAAAAUCACGUUUAUUGUAUGGGAGCCCCACUUAAAUAUUGAUUAUAUCCUGUUUUUAGUAUUUGUUGUUAUAGCGGCAACAGAAAUACAUCAUCUGUGAAAAUUUCAACUGCCUAGCUAUCACAGUUCAUGAGAUACAGCCUGGUGACAGACAGACAGACAGACAGACGGACAGCGGAUCUUUGGUAAUAUGGCCCCGUGUUUACCCUUUGAGUACGGUUUUUGCUUUUUUUAUGCGCCUAUAAUUUACUUCUGUUUGCCAUCUCACAUCACAUCGUCACUUCGACUACGGGAUCUUUUUAUUUAGCAUAUAAUUGUAGCUUUUAAGAGUUAGGGAACAACAUACAGAACAGACUGGUUUUAUAUAUAUCUAAGCGUUUUCAGACAAGAUCUAAAAUCAUAGAAAACUUGUAUUUUUUACAGAAAUAUGGCUUUCAUGUAUACUUAGAAUCUCAAAUCAUAUUUAUUUAAAUCUUCCGUGUUGUUAAAUGAAUAUUACGCUUUGGAUUUUCUGUAACCCCUCGUAAAUGACAGAUCUUGCCAAUAAUGUCCUAAAAUCUGUCAAACUACCCUCAUAAAAUAUUUUUGGAUAUGUAUUUUGUAAUUUCAUUUUGAAAAAUUCUAAAUUUCGUAUUGAACUAAGUUAUUCCAUAAGUUGUUAUUGUUAAGUAACAAUAAUUUAACAUCAAUAAAGCGAAAUAUUUUUA